ACCCUGCUAAAGAGUCUCUCCCCUUCUUUCCUGUAGCUCCAGAUAUAAUGAAUACCCACAAGAAAAAUGCUAUUGAGCUGUGAUACUACUGAGAAUGAAUAAUAUCAUUCAUUACAAUGCUUGCAUAACCCCCAGAAAGCAAAGAAAACCCAUAUGACAGCUGGCAUAUAAAAUGGAUGGACAGUGUGCCUGAGACUUCUUUUAAUACUUGGUGUUCAUAUGCACCAAUUCCACUACAUUUGUUCCAUACAGGCUCAAGCUGCGACCAAGAACUUAGCUGAAGAAACCUAUGAAUGGAUAAAGUUUAUUGUGAUAUGAAUGUUGUGAAAUGUGAGAUGUGACUAGAUGGUGAAGAUUCAGACUGUGGAGAGAUCCACCUUCAGGAGCCCACAGGAUCUGCAAUGAGUUUUGAAGACUAAAGUUUCUGAAGGACACUGCCCUCUUUCUUCAAUGAGAUAACAGAGAUGGGGAAGUAAAAAAAAAAAAAAAAAAAAAA